AAUGAAUUGCCUGAUAAAAAGGAUUACCUUGAUAGGGAUACCAUAUAAUUUUAAUAUUAUAUUCAUUA
rnacentral:tRNA from 1 species